UACGUAGGGACCAAGCGUUGUUCGGAUUUACUGGGCGUAAAGGGCGCGUAGGCGGCAAUUCAAGUCAGCUGUGAAAUCUCCGGGCUUAACUCGGAACGGUCAGCUGAUACUGCUUUGCUAGAGUGCAGAAGGGGCAAUCGGAAUUCUUAGUGUAGCGGUGAAAUGCGUAGAUAUCAGGAGGAACACCUGAGGUGAAGACGGGUUGCUGGGCUGACACUGACGCUGAGGCGCGAAAGCUAGGGUAGCAAACGGG
rnacentral:rRNA from 1 species